rnacentral:rRNA from 1 species
GACGAACGCUGGCGGCGUGCUUAACACAUGCAAGUCGAACGGACAGGCCCUGCUUUUGUGGGGUGCUUGAGUGGCGAACGGGUGAGUAACACGUGAGUAACCUGCCCUUGACUUUGGGAUAACUUCAGGAAACUGGGGCUAAUACCGGAUAGGAGCUCCUGCUGCAUGGUGGGGGUUGGAAAGUUUCGGCGGUUGGGGAUGGACUCGCGGCUUAUCAGCUUGUUGGUGGGGUAGUGGCUUACCAAGGCUUUGACGGGUAGCCGGCCUGAGAGGUUGACCGGCCACAAUGGGACUGAGGGACGGCCCAGACUCCUACGGGAGGCAGCAGUGGGGAAUAUUGCACAAUGAGCGGAAGCCUGAUGCAGCAACGCCGCGUGCGGGAUGACGGCCUUCGGGUUGUAAACCGCUUUCGCCUGUGACGAAGCGUGAGUGACGGUAAUGGGUAAAGAAGCACCGGCUAACUACGUG